rnacentral:lncRNA from 1 species
UUUGGCACAUACAAAGUUCCGUUGGUAAUUAUUUCGAUCUAUCGUUUGUAGAUAUCCGAGCGUUCGAUAUACAAUAAACACUAUUAUUGAUACUUCAAAUCGGUAUAUUCUCCUAUCAUUCGACCUAUAGCAUCAUUGAGAUUGUACACUUAAUUAUCACAAUGUUCAUGAAUGAUGUACUUUGGUGAAUCAUAAAAUAACAUAUUGCCGGCUAAGACUGGUUCCAUUGAUUCCAGCAAUGGAUCAUCAACACCAAAAUCAAAUUGCUUGAAAAAGUCAUGACAUGCCCCCUCUAAGUUCCUAUAUAAACCAAACCACCAAAGCCCUUCACAUUCAUCCUCACCACAACAACAAACCCUAGCUACUCUUUGAAAAGAAGUCCUAACUUGGUGAGGAUUAGAUCAAAAGUUCUCCCAAAUAUGGCCAAUGUUUGGCCAAACUUGCUAUACGGCGUGGCUCUAUGCUUGUUAGCAUCCACCAUUAGUGUAGAGGCUGAUGAUAAGCCUUACUAUUACUCAUCUCCCCCUCCGCCGUAUUAUUACAGUUCGCCUCCUCCUCCGAUGAAGUCUCCCCCACCACCGUAUUAUUACAUUUCGCCUCCUCCACCUAAGAAGUCUCCUCCGCCACCGUAUUACUACAAUUCGCCUCCUCCACCUAAGAAGUCUCCACCGCCACCAUAUUACUACAGUUCACCUCCUCCUCCUAAGAAGUCUCCCCCACCGCCGUAUUACUACAGUUCGCCACCUCCUCCGAAGAAAUCUCCUCCACCUCCUUACUAUUACAAGUCUCCACCGCCGCCAUCGCCACACCCACCGCCGCCUUAUUACUACAAGUCUCCACCACCGCCAUCUCCUUCUCCUCCACCACCAUAUUAUUACAAGUCACCGCCACCACN